rnacentral:rRNA from 1 species
CCUACCCUCAGGACGGGGAUACCCUCGGGAAACUGAGGCUAAUCCCAGAUAGAUGAGGGAUCCUGGAAUGGUUCCUCAUCCAAAAGGCACGCAUAUCAUGCUAUGUGUGUCGCCUGAGGAUGGGACCGCAUCCUAUCAGGUAGUUGGUGGGGUAACGGCCCACCAAGCCUAUAACGGGUACGGGCCCUGAGAGGGGUAGCCCGGAGAUGGGUACUGAGACAAGGACCCAGGCCCUACGGGGCGCAGCAGGCGCGAAACCUCCGCAAUGCGCGAAAGCGCGACGGGGCCACCCCGAGUGCCAUCCGCUGAGGGUGGCUUUUCCCUAGUGUAGUAAGCUAGGGGAAUAAGCGGGGGGCAAGUCUGGUGUCAGCCGCCGCGGUAAUACCAGCUCCGCGAGUGGUCGGGACGAUUAUUGGGCCUAAAGCGUCCGUAGCCGGCCUAAUAAGUCUCUGGUUAAAUCUCAAGGCUCAACCUUGAGAUCGCUGGAGAUACUGUUGGGCUAGGGGGCGGGAGAGGUUGAGGGUACUUCGCGGGUAGGGGCGAAAUCCUAUAAUCCGCGAAGGACCACCAGUGGCGAAGGCGCUCAACUGGAACGCGCCCGACGGUGAGGGACGAAAGCUAGGGGAGCAAAGGGGAUUAGAUACCCCCGUAGUCCUAGCCGUAAACGAUGCGGGCUAGGUGUUGGGUUGGCUUCGUGCCAACCCAGUGCCGCAGCGAAGGCGAUAAGC